rnacentral:lncRNA from 1 species
GAUUUAGAUAAGCUCUGGAUAAGUUCUGUUCUGUGACAUGAGCACUGAGUUGCUUAGCAGCAAAAAAUGUUUCUCCUCUUGAACACCUCAGCCAACAACAUUUCCCCAGGAUUUAUUAGGAUGCAACAGGAUGAGGGCGCUGAGUGUCCCAGGUGAGAGCAGUUUUUGCUAAUCUUACAUUAGGCUUAAGACUCUAAGGCCAUUUUCAACCCCUUCUGAGUCUUUUCUUUCCUAGACUCAAGGAUGAAAGGGACCCUGCAGGUGGUUCUGCUCAUCCCUUCCUCUGUUGAUGUACGCAGGUUUGUGGGGUAGGAAGCCACAAGCCCUCAUCAUUAGUCAGUGGGUAAUCAGAAUAUACAGGCAACUUGAUGCUGGAUCCUGGAGUGAAUUUACAGUAAAAUGGAUUUUUGCCAUUAAUGCAAUUCUUAUUAUUGUCUUCCACUCUGUUCAGAGGUGAAGUAAGUUCAUUUUCUUUUCAGAAGAUCCACACCUUGGAAGUUCUAUAAACAUAGGUCUUAAUUUAACUCCUAUGAAGAAAUGGCAACAUCUCUUUGAGUGAAAUUGAUACCUUUUAGAGGCACUCCUUUCCCUUUGCUUCUGCUUCCCUGAGAGCCUUCCCCUAGAUAGAAAAUAAUUUUGUACAAAACCACAAAAUGUUAAAAGUCCUUAGGUUGAAGGGCAUUUGUUCACUGAGCCUGACUCAUUCAGCAGUGAUGUAUGUGCAGAGGAAAUCUUUUUUUUUUUUUUUUUUUUUUUUUUUGCAUAUCUUAGCUCUCUCAUUCCUCUUUCAAUUGAAGGAGUGGAAUUUUUCUUUUCUAUUCAAGUUUUAUUCAGAAAGCAAAAAAAAAAAAAGUGCAUAAAUCUCUGCUUUUCCCUUGUACCCCUCUGGUGUGAAACAGGAAAUCUAAUUAUUAAAAUAAAAGUAUCAUUUUCUAUCUAUUAAAAUAGGUUUGGAUUGGUCAAAUGCCAUGGUGAAGGAGGAUGGAAUAAAAAUGGCACCAUGAGGCAAAAAGGUCCAUUUUGUUGUGCUAUAGCACAGAACAUAUUGUCCACUGAAUGAGACCAGAGCAACAAAUUCUGGAGAUUCUUAGAAGAACAUAUUUCUUAUCACUCUUGGUUUGAAAGGCUCAUGCUAUUUUAGGGUUUUCUCCAGUUGCCUUGAAUGACUCAAGAAAAUGUCAAAGAACAUUGGGGAAGAGGUGCCAGAUCCUUCCACUGAGGCCUUCCAUAUAUGCUUGAUGGAUCCUGUCAAGAGGGCCUAUCUCAUAAUAAAGUGCCAGCUACCACACAGAGAAGGGACUCAGUGUUGUGCCUCUUCUUUUUCCCAGCCCUUGGAGAAAGAGGCGAAACGGAGGACUCGAGCAGCAUCCCAUCACACCCAGUAUGACCUCGAAAGAUGGAGUGGAACACAGAUCAUCUCUGGCCUUCUUUUCAGAUUUGGCACCAAAACAAUUAAGUCCAUCAUCAAUUUCCAUCUGCAUGGACUCUGACCAUCAAGUGAGAGUCAAACAGCCAUCAACGCCAGACCCUUAAUUACCCAGUGUCACAGUGUCACCAAAUAAUUGUGAGGACAAAAAUUUUUAUUUUCCAGGUGAGGAAGAAAAGACUCCAAGAACCCUAACGACUACCACUGUGGAAGCCAAACAACAUUCACCCAGAAACAAUACAUAGUUUCAUCUCCAGACCCCACUGGAAGAGAUUUGCUAGAUUCAAAACAAAGUAGAACCAAAUAAACAAAGUACCUCACCAACAUAAGAGAAAACACGCUGUUUACUAGCUGUGUGACUGUGUGCAACUUUUCUUAUUGUAAAAUGGGGGUAAGAAUAUAACUACAUUUAGAUCAGUUACAGGAAUUAAAUAUGUCCUUAGAAUAUUGCUCAGCAUCCAGCUGUUACAUUAGUCUUCCAUAUUGAGGCAUGUCAGUGGGCUACUGUAGACACAUACAUGAAUGAUAGCCUGAGUCUGUAUUCUUGACUUGCCCACUCCCUCCAUAGCACUGCUGUAUGAACCAUCUGAACUCACCAACUGAGCUCGAUUUUCCCUAUCUUCUAAAUAAACUGACCACACAUGCCUCUCCCACAUAGGAUGGCGGUACAAACAACCUUGCUGACUAUUCCCACAAGACUCUCCAACGAUCUCGAGUGACUGCUGUGAAAACAAGUGCUAAAUUCAAAAUCCGUAAAUGCUCAUAAAACAAAAACCCAUAAAACAAAAAUGCUGAUCUCAGCUCUUCCUGGAAGGAUUAAAGUUGAAGCAUGAUGGGAAUAAUGUUUUCAACAUCUUCUUUUCAUUGAGCUGUGGCUUUGUGGAUUAAAAAAUUAAGUAGAAACACCUGACUACAACAGGUCAUAUUUUGUUGUGGUUGUUUCCAUUUUUAUUCUUUAAAGUUUUCUGAGGAUUUUUCUGGACUGCAGGCUAAACAAAUGUCAGCUAAGCCCCCACUGCUACUGCCUAUCAAGGGAUUCUCUGAAUGACUAAGUGCCUCCGGCACAAUGAAAUUGGAUUUAUGAGUUUUCUAAGGAUCUACUAUAGACAAAUAAGGCUGUGUAUCACAGGACCCUAUUUAAAGCUAAGUUAAUCAGCCAGAGACUAGUGCUGGAAGAAAAGGAAUUGGCAAAGGAGAGGAAUGAACAAGGUCUGUGCUUGGAUGGGCAAGCAGCAGAAGGUAAAAACACCUGAAGGCCAGGCAGAGGAGGGAAAAGCUCACCCUAAAGAUACUCUUCUUUGUACUAAUUCACACCCUGGAGAUGGAAUAAAAGGUGAUCCCUGGGAAGCUAAUCCACAGCUCUCAAAGCUACAGAUACAUGUCACUAGCACUGAUCCUGAGGGCCACACACUUUAGAAAGGGUUCCUUCCAGAUAUUCUUCGUAUUUGGGGUCCUAAAUUCAAAUGUUAUAGGACAUUUCCCAGCAAACAUGUAGAUCAAUUCCACAAAAGCUAGUAUCUUGUUGUUUGAAAUAUCUGGAAAGUUCUCUUCUAUUUAAAAAUAGGUAAUAGGAAUUCCUGUCACGGCUCAGUAGAAAUGAAUCUAACUAGCAUCCAUGAGGACGGGGGUUCAAUCCCUGGCCUCACUCAGUGGGUUAAGGAUACAGCGUUGCUAUGAGCCGUGGUGUAGGUCACAGACAUGGCUUGAAUCCUGAGUUGCUGUGGCUGUGGUGUAGGCCGGUGGCUACAGCUCCGAUUCAACCCCUAGCCUGGGAACCUACAUAUACCAUGGGUGCAGCCCUAAAAAAAGG